rnacentral:rRNA from 1 species
AGUGAACGCUGGCGGUAGGCCUAACACAUGCAAGUCGAACGGCAGCACAGUAAGAGCUUGCUCUUACGGGUGGCGAGUGGCGGACGGGUGAGGAAUACAUCGGAAUCUACUUUUUCGUGGGGGAUAACGUAGGGAAACUUACGCUAAUACCGCAUACGACCUACGGGUGAAAGCAGGGGAUCUUCGGACCUUGCGCGAUUGCAUGAGCCGAUGUCGGAUUGGCUAGUUGGCGGGGUAAAGGCCCACCAAGGCGACGAUCCGUAGCUGGUCUGAGAGGAUGAUCAGCCACACUGGAACUGAGACACGGUCCAGACUCCUACGGGAGGCAGCAGUGGGGAAUAUUGGACAAUGGGCGCAAGCCUGAUCCAGCCAUACCGCGUGGGUGAAGAAGGCCUUCGGGUUGUAAAGCCCUUUUGUUGGGAAAGAAAAGCAGCAGGUUAAUACCCCGCUGUUCUGACGGUACCCAAAGAAUAAGCACCGGCUAACUUCGUG